rnacentral:lncRNA from 1 species
AGAUAAUAACCCAUCUUCAAAUGGCAUAUGGGAAGAACAGUGAUGCUACUAGGUCCAAGCACUCGAUGACGGAGCAACAUAGAAGGAACAAGAUUAAUGAAAGGUAUGUGUUUGUUUUAUCAUAAUUAUUGUUUUUGUAUUUGAUAUAUUUAAGUUUAUACCUUUUGUGGAGUAUGUUUAGUUUCUUAUAGUAAUACAUACUCCCUUUAAUAAUAUGUUUUUUGGUCAUUGGUGGAUUGUAGUUUGUGAUUUGAUGAAAUUAGUUUGAUUACAGUGGAAACACUCGAAAUGAAAUGAAAGGGAUAUAUGUAGCAGGGUUAAAGUAAUCAUGAGAUGAAGGUAUGAAAGAUGUGAGUUGUGAUCUGUACGUUUUAGAUCCAAUUUCUUAAAUCCUCAAAAUUCAUGAAAUAUUUAUCAACAACGUCAGAGAAGAUGAAAUCUACUAAAGGGCAUCAAGAAGACGAUUAUGGCGCCAAAAAGAUAAUUACCCAUCUUCAAAAGAUGGGAAGAAUAGUGAUGCUACUAGGUCCAAGCAUUCUGAUUUGUAAUCAACAUUGUUCUUUUUUCGUGAUUUCAUUUUUUUGCUUUGUGAUUGGUAUGAUUUGCAGGUGGAUGUUGCGAUGUUAGUUGUUCUUUGUUAGGGUUUACGCAGAGCAACAAGUUAAGGCACUCAUG